CAGUCGAGCGAAGCACCUUGACGGAUUUCUUCGGAUUGAAGCCUUGGUGACUGAGCGGCGGACGGGUGAGUAACGCGUGGGUAACCUGCCUCAUACAGGGGGAUAACAGUUGGAAACGGCUGCUAAUACCGCAUAAGCGCACAGUACCGCAUGGUACGGUGUGAAAAACUCCGGUGGUAUGAGAUGGACCCGCGUCUGAUUAGGUAGUUGGUGGGGUAACGGCCUACCAAGCCGACGAUCAGUAGCCGACCUGAGAGGGUGACCGGCCACAUUGGGACUGAGACACGGCCCAAACUCCUACGGGAGGCAGCAGUGGGGAAUAUUGCACAAUGGGGGAAACCCUGAUGCAGCGACGCCGCGUGAGCGAUGAAGUAUUUCGGUAUGUAAAGCUCUAUCAGCAGGGAAGAAAAUGACGGUACCUGACUAAGAAGCCCCGGCUAACUACGUGCCAGCAGCCGCGGUAAUACGUAGGGGGCAAGCGUUAUCCGGAUUUACUGGGUGUAAAGGGAGCGUAGACGGCAUGGCAAGCCAGAUGUGAAAGCCCGGGGCUCAACCCCGGGACUGCAUUUGGAACUGUCAGGCUAGAGUGUCGGAGAGGAAAGCGGAAUUCCUAGUGUAGCGGUGAAAUGCGUAGAUAUUAGGAGGAACACCAGUGGCGAAGGCGGCUUUCUGGACGGUGACUGACGUUGAGGCUCGAAAGCGUGNGGAGCAAACAGGAUNAGAUACCCUGGUAGUCCACGCCGU
rnacentral:rRNA from 1 species